UUUCCGUAGGUGAACCUGCGGAAGGAUCAUUGUUGGAUUUUGAAACUUCAGGCUGCUGCUGGCUCUCCUCGGAGGGCAUGUGCACGCUUGUUGUCCAUUAUUUCUCCCACUGUGCACAAAUUGUAGACCUUUCAGUAGGCCUAUGUUGUUUUUCACAAUCUCUGAAUGUAAUAGAAUGGUUUUGAAUCUUGGGAAAUACAAUACAACUUUCAGCAACGGAUCUCUUGGCUCUC
rnacentral:misc_RNA from 1 species